rnacentral:rRNA from 1 species
CGCGCAGGCGGUCCUUCAAGUCAGAGGUGAAAGCCCAGAGCUCAACUCUGGAACGGCCUUUGAAACUAGAGGACUUGGGUACGGGAGAGGUGAGUGGAAUUCCGAGUGUAGAGGUGAAAUUCGUAGAUAUUCGGAAGAACACCAGUGGCGAAGGCGGCUCACUGGCCCGUUACCGACGCUCAGGCGCGACAGCGUGGGGAGCAAACA